GGUCUGAUGGUCUAGCGGUAUGAUUCUCGCUUAGGGUACACCCUAAAGCCUAGCUUGCGAGAGGUCCCGGGUUCAAUCCCCGGUCAGACCC